UUUAAAUCUCAUAAAACAGGCGGGUGGAGACUAAUAGAAGGCUGUUUGAAAAAGCAGCACACACUUUGAAGGAAACGUCCCUCCUCUGAACAUCUUCACCUCUCUGCUCCAGAGGACCUGACAAGAAUACUUUCUGCCUAUUCUGAAACACAAAGAUGGCUGUAGCUCUCACUCUCCUUCUUGUUGGCUGUCUGCUCCCAGGUGCCCUGUGUGGACAGUUUGAGAGCAUUAUACCACAGACGAUAGAGGUUCUGAAGGGAUCCUGUGUGACAAUCCCCUGCUCCUUUGAUGUACAGGAUCAAUUUAAUGUAAACUUAAACAACACUUGUAAAGCAUUAUGGAGAGAAAGUACUUUUGGACCUGAUGUGUUUGAUAGCAGUAAUCCACAACAGAAAGGACAAUUGA